UGGGGAAUUUUGGACAAUGGGCGAAAGCCUGAUCCAGCAAUGCCGCGUGUGUGAAGAAGGCCUUCGGGUUGUAAAGCACUUUUGUCCGGAAAGAAAUCCUUGGCUCUAAUACAGUCGGGGGAUGACGGUACCGGAAGAAUAAGCACCGGCUAACUACGUGCCAGCAGCCGCGGUAAUACGUAGGGUGCAAGCGUUAAUCGGAAUUACUGGGCGUAAAGCGUGCGCAGGCGGUUUGCUAAGACCGAUGUGAAAUCCCCGGGCUCAACCUGGGAACUGCAUUGGUGACUGGCAGGCUAGAGUAUGGCAGAGGGGGGUAGAAUUCCACGUGUAGCAGUGAAAUGCGUAGAGAUGUGGAGGAAUACCGAUGGCGAAGGCAGCCCCCUGGGCCAAUACUGACGCUCAUGCGCGAAAGCGUGGGGAGCAAACAGGAUUAGAUACCCUGGUAGUCCACGCCCUAAACGAUGUCAACUAGUUGUUGGGGAUUCAUUUCCUUAGUAACGUAGCUAACGCGUGAAGUUGACCGCCUGGGGAGUACGGUCGCAAGAUUAAAACUUAAAUGAAUUGACGGGGGUCAUAGCUGUUUCCU
rnacentral:rRNA from 1 species